AGAUGCAAGGAAGAAGAGGGACUUUUCUGCCAUGCUUGGGAACUAGAAGAGAGUAGCAAUCAUGUAAGAUCUCAGGGCAGCCUCUGUGGGUGGGUUACCAAGGAUGUUUGGCAGGGGAUGAUUGGAACAGCCCCUGAAUUUGGGGCAGAAGGAAAGACAGAGAUGGUGGUUUGGUAAGGGCACACGUUUCCAGGCGGGAGGUAUCUAUGCCCAGUAAUUGUGUCACGAAAGCUAAGCUGUAAAGUGACAAGCUGAGUGUGUGUCCUUAAUCCGUGGAUUCUAGGGCGUCCAGAAGUGGGCUGGUGGAACAGUUGACUCCGAGGUUAUGGCAGUAGCGUGCAUUAUAAAACUACACGCAAUACAUGGAGGGUGAAGGGGAUAAGGUGAACCCACCCAUCAUUGCUGCUCCAGAACCCCCCGGAAGCAGGUCCCCUCUUAGUUCUCAUAGGUUGGAGAUACAUGUUCACUGCUAGGUUAAGAGUGGCUAGAAAACUGACACUCUGGCAAACGGGCAUAAGGAUUCUAUGACAGACAUAGGCUGGCCCUGGAGAACCACUUGUACCCUAAGCAACUGUAUGAGUUACUUCUCUCACAGCUGUGAUAACACACCAGAAAGGAGCAGUUUAAGGAGAAUGCUCGCUAUGAACCAUUGAAUUGAUUUACAUGACCCUCCAGUGAUAUGCAUCCUCCAAUGAUACAUCCUCCAGCUUGUAAAGAGCCAAUUCAGACAUUAAAGACUUUAAGGAGUUAGAAAAUGCAGGUAAGCCGGGCAUGGUGGCGCACGCCUUUAAUCCCAGCACUCGGGAGGCAGAGGCAGUCGGAUUUCUGAGUUCGAGGCCAGCCUGGUCUACAAAGUGAGUGCCAGGACAGCCAGGGCUACACAGAGAAACCCUGUCUCGAAAAAAAAAAAAAAGAAAAAGAAACCUUGAUGGUAUCUUUCCUGGUCCAGGUCUUCAGGGGUUCCUCUAGUCUCCAAAUCUGGGAAUGAAGAGGAAAGAGUACACUGAGCAUCCCUGAAUAGUGUUGGAGAAGUACUGACCCUUCCCUGUGUCCUCUCACUCAUCUGCCAAAUGGGUAUAAUGUCUUUCUUAACCACUCUGAAGCAUCUCUCUGAGGGGGAAGAAAGAUAGUGCCUUUUUAAAAUUCAUACACGGCUUCAUUCCACAAUGCAUUUGAGGCGCUUCUAAAAAUACCUGUGAUAGAAAGAGAUAAAAAUAAAUACUAUAUAUGAAAUCAUCCACAAUUGUACUCUAAGCACGUUUUUCUUAUUGUCGCUCAUAGCCGUGUGGAAGUGAUAACAGGAAGAUUCCCAAUCUCAUUUCCAACUUAACCUUGACCUUUGGGGCUCUAACUGAAGAGCAGGCCUAUGGGAAUCUCGGACCCCAAAGCUGCCUAGCUACAAAGCCUGAAGUCUGGUGUUGCCUCCUAGGGGUUUGGGUGGCUGGGAUCGAAGGAG
rnacentral:lncRNA from 1 species